UACGUAGGUGGCAAGCGUUGUCCGGAUUUACUGGGCGUAAAGAGCGCGCAGGCGGUCGUUCAAGUCGCGUGUGAAAGCCCCCGGCUCAACUGGGGAGGGUCACGCGAUACUGAUCGACUCGAAGGCAGGAGAGGGUAGUGGAAUUCCCGGUGUAGAGGUGAAAUUCGUAGAUAUCGGGAGGAAUACCAGUGGCGAAGGCGCUGACCUGGACGAAGAUUGACGCUGAGGUGCGAAAGCGCGGGGAGCAAACAGG
rnacentral:rRNA from 1 species